CGGGAUUUAGCGCAGUUGGUAGCGCACUACGUUCGGGACGUAGGGGUCGCUGGUUCGAGUCCAGUAAUCCCGACCA
rnacentral:tRNA from 3 species